UUUCAUUUACCAAGGAAACUUAACCAAAUAUCCGAUAGUCAAUGAGCCUCUGUGUAUUGUGCGUCCAGUCUUCUUAUCCCGGCUGAAACAUAUAAAGCAGACGGUGUUACAAUGACACAGGUGAAGAGUCAGAGGUUUCUUUAAAGCGGCGUAAAGAUGGAGGACGACCUGGUGUCGGAGGAUGAUAUCCUGCUGGUGUCGGAGAAGGAGCUCCAUGAUGCUGCAAAGAGGAACGACACCGAAAAACUUCAGGAGCUGAUCAGGAAGGGUGUGGACGUCAAGGCCAGGAAUAAAGUUGAUCGGAAAGCUCUGCACUGGGCAGCAGGAGCAGGAAACGAACAGGCUCUACGACUCCUCCUGGACCAUGACACUGAAGUGGACGAGAAAGACUCUUUUGGAAUGAAUGCUCUGCUCCUGGCCUCCUGGUUCGGUCAUUUGAAGAUCCUGCAGGUCCUGGUAUCCUGUGGAGCAAAGCUCAACUGUGAAAACAAAGACGGUCUCAGCAUGCUGCACUGUGCUGCUCAGCGAGGCCACAUCAGCGUACUGGAGUUCAUCAUGGAGGACCUGGAGGAUGUCUGUCUUGACAGAGUGGACAAGUUAGGGAAGACAGCUCUUCACCUGGCUGCUGAACACGGACAGUCUGAAGUGGUGGAGUUUCUGAUUGGAAUGGGUUGCGCUCAUGCUUUGAAGGACAAGGAAGAGAACACAGCCGUGCAUCUAGCAGCCAAGUUUGGGCACACAGACGUCCUGCAGAAGAUCAUCGAGACGGGAGUGAACGUGGAUGAGAGAAACAUAGAUGGUCUCACAGCUUUGCAUCAUGCAUCUGAUGGAGGUCACUGGGAAUGUAUCAAACUGCUGCUGGAGUCCGACUGUGAUUUCAACACACAGACUAACAAGAACAUGACUGCUCUCCAUUACGUGGCCCAGCAUGGCUUCGACAGAGAAGCCCACUUGCUGCUGGAGGCAGGGAUCAACAUAGAUGCUGUAAACAAUCAACUCAACACAGCGCUGCACCUCGCUGUGCUCGGCAAUCACACCGAGGUCGUGCGUCAGCUGAUAGAAGCCGACUGUGACCUGGACAUCACUGACAGUAGACAACAGAGCGCUCUGCACAUAGCAGCAGAACACGGCUGGCAGGACCUGGCUGAGAUGAUCCUCAUCUCUGGUGUUAACCUCACUCUGACAGACAAGCAGGGGAAAACGUGUCUGGAGGUGGCAGCAAGAGGAAACCACGUCAUCCUGGUCGACAUGAUCAUCAAAGCUGAUCGUUUUUAUAAAUGGGAGAAGGAUCAAUUGGGCAGUGGGCAGGACUCCUGGGUGGGGAGAAAUCUGAGCUUUAAGCAGGACCACCAGCCGGAGACACAGCACAUCCGCUCGGUCCUGUGGAGCCUGGCCACCAAGCACCUGUGCCGGGGGGAGUGGAAGAUUCUAGCACAACACUGGGAGUUCAGCGAUGCUCAUAUACGAGCUAUAGAACAACAAUGGACGGGUAUGAAAAGCUACAAAGAGCACGGUCACAGGAUGCUGUUGAUCUGGCUUCAUGGAGUCGUGACGGCGGGAAAGAACCCAAUCAAAGGCCUCUACGAGGGGCUGGUGGAAAUCUCACGGACAGACUUGGCAGAGAACAUCAGGCAGAAAGCGAAUGCAGAGACCAGCUCGACCAAAAUGUGCACUGCCAUGUGAUCAACACUGUGAGUGACUGUGAAGGCAACACUGUGAGUGACUGUGAAGGCAACACUGGUGCAGAGCGUCGUCAUCCUCCACCACUUUGAAUGGAAGCUGUUAACGACCGUCUCCAUGAAGGCCUCAAUCAUCUCCUGCUUUCUGAACACUGGGACACAGUAUAAAUGUAUGUUAAUUGUGUUUAUCAUAAAAAUGAUCACACUCACUGAUGCUGGUGGAACCUGUAUAUAAAUUUAACAUAUACACUAUGAGUGAAAUGAAGGAAAUCGAUAAAUGAAGCAAUAAUCUCUUUUUAUAUAUUAGAUGUACUUGAUGUAUAUGUACUCUUUUAAAAAUGUCUGGUUUCACUUCAUAACCAAGUUUGUAUCCCACUUGAUUCACAUUUUUAUGAUGAUUAUUAUGUCUUUUUAAAAUUGAUUUAAAUAUGGAACUUUCUACUCUUUUUUACACUGUUCUCAGUCUGUUUUAGUCAUCCAGAGUUGUGGACAAAUCGUGAUGUUUUUCCUGAUAGUAGCUUUAAAUGUGAUCCCUCUGUGGGCGGCAGUAGCUCAGUCUGUAGAGGCUUGGGUUGGGAACCGGAGGGUCGCCGGUUUAAGUCCCCGUGCAGACCAAAUCUGGAAAAUGGUCUGGUAGCUGGACAGGUUCCACUUCACUUCCUGAACACUGCUUAGAUGCCCUUGAGCCAGGCCAUGCACCCCCCCCCCCCCUCCCCCACCAGGCCAGGAGUGCUGGCUGUGGGCAACCCCCUCACUCGGACAUGUCUCCAUUAGUGCACGUCCAACAGAGUGUAAAAUUGAAUUUCCCCUUGCAGGAUUAAUAUAUAGGAUAUCAUCUUCAUCUUCUUCUGCUCAGAAGGCAGAGGAUCACUCAGCUGCAGCUCACACUCUGUAGACAGCUCAGACUGAAUCAUUUCACCACAGAAACACACACAGAAACUUACACUUACACUUACCAGCGUCUUCAUUAUUCUUCACGAUGUCAUAUGCUUUGACGUCAGGGUCUAAACUGUUGUUGACGAUGUUGUCUUCCCUGUCUUUGAAGGCAGCCGCACUUCAAGCUCUGCACUCUGUCUUUGUGGCCUUAAAGAAAUCGGUGUUUUGUUUCCAUCGCGUCAGAUCUUCAUUCAGUCUGGCCAUCAUUGUUUGAAUAGAGAGAGCUAAAUGAUAAACGUGAGUAAUAUGAGCAGAUCGACCUCAGUUGAUCUAAGUGGAAGGAAUGAAACAUCUCAGUUUCACGUUAUGGCUCAACGUUAACCUUCUGUCUGUAUUACAGUUUUAUAUGCAUCCUAUAGACUGAAGAUGUGAUGCAGUAGAGUGGCAAUAACUAAAAUGCACUUUGAGCCUUUUUCGAUCAGUUGUUCGACACUUGAUACAAGUAACCACUGAAGGAUGGAGAUGAAUUCUUGAAGUCUCAAAAUGAGAAACAGAAAAGCACAAAACCUUCUGCCACAGGAUGAUGUAUUUUUUUUUUAUCAGAUGUGCCUCUACUUGCUUUUUCUUCUUGAGUAGUUUACGGGAUUAUUUCACUGAUUUUUGUGUUCUUGUUUUAUGUUUUAUGUUUUAUGUUUUCACAUUUCUAAUUAAAGGUUUUUAUUUUGGGAUACUCCUUCUGUUGCCUGGUGUAAAUAAUGUUAAUGGUGUAAAUUGUAACAUCUAUUUUUGCAUGAAGUAAAACAACUAUAUACAUUCUGUUAUGGAUAGAAUCCUAAGGGAACUAGGUCACAGGUUUCCUUGCUCGUCAGAAGUUAUUGACCUGACGGCUGAUGGCGAUCAGCUCGACUGGGAGGAGAGAGAGAGGGGUUGGAAUGCGUCUUUGCUCAGUUGGUUGUGUGAAUCCAGAAAGUCAACACCAUCAGUUGGCUUUCUGUGUUUUUAUUGUUGAAUGAAGAUCUAAGUUAUGGGUGUGUGUUGAAAAUAUAUUUUUUAUUUCAGCCAUUUUGUGACUCCUCCCAUUACCCCUCUGUUCUCUGACUCCGGCUUAUCUUUUGUUUUGGGCUCCAAUUUAUGUUAGUCUAUCAUUUUGAUGGAAUUAGUGGGUGGUAUGAAGGACUAUGCUCUUCUUCCAAUUUAAUGAAACCCAAGGCACACUAAAGACCCGUUUCCACCAAGCGGUCCGGUCCGGUUCGGUACCCAUUUACUGUCGUUUCCACCGUCGAAAAAUUGGGAAUGGUACCAAAAUCAGGGAUCUGUACCGUCCUACUUUUUUGGUACUCUUCUGUUGGGGUGCCAAGGGUACAGAUCCGACCCUGAAGGGUUUACUGUGUUCCGUUCUUCUUCCUGAACGUUUAACUUAAUUAAUAGCGGGCUACACUGUGUUGAGCUUCUAUAAUGUCACACUAUUACAGACGCUGCUAUCUCCAUCUGGCUUACACUCCGCUUACUAAAUAAGGGUACGUUUGGCUGUGGAAACGCAAGAUCAGGGUUUACAGUACCAAACUGAACCAAACUGUACUGAACCAAACCGGACCGCUUGGUGGAGUGAAAAGGUGCAGUGUUCGGUUAGUUCCCCAACCUGCGACCUCUGUCGUUCAGAUUUUGUUUACUGGGGGGAAACGUAACAAUUCACAAAAAAUGACAUUUUUAAAAAUAUGUUUUGUCAAAUGUAAUGAUCUUCUAGUACUGUACUGUGAUGUAGUAUUACUGCUGGUCGUGAACACUACUGCAACAUGUGUGAUGAUCGUUACAGGCCUACAAAAACAAAUGAUUAAGAGCUGGUUUGGGCAUGUUUAGUGUUUUGUUGUCAUACAGCCAAUAAAGAUCGAUGAGCAGGGUGUAAAUAAAAACUAUGUUUGCAUGAAAAAAAAUCAUUUUUGCAUUUGCAUUUUAAGGAACUUUAUGAAUUAAAUUAUUAUUAUUAUUAUUUAUUUUUUAAAUCAAUGCUUCAAUCAAAAUUGUUCUUCAAACUUUUCUGCAGCUCAUGUUUAAAAGAUCAAUAAAAACUCCACUUUGACUACAA